CUCUCUCUGGUGAUUGAUUCUCGCUCUCUCCCGCGCUCGCUCGAAGAAAAGAAAACUCUCGGGUGCUCUCUCCCUCGGGAUUCGGCUCUCUGGAUUUUCUCUCCCUCUCUCCGUAACUGCUCGAUGGAGCUUCCAUGGCAGAUCUCGAAACCCUAGCCUCGGGAAAUCUCAGUAGAGAUCCACCAUUCCUCGGGGGAAAAUCUCUGCCUCGCGCACCUGCUACCAGAGGAAGCUUCCGCCCCUGUCUCCAGCGUUUCUCCGUCGAGCGAGUCGAAGGUUAGGGUUUUCUCUCAUUAGCAAGCAAGGAUCGGAGAUUGAAGGCCGGCAGUCGAGGAUUGCGAGAGGAGUUCAGUUUCGUUCUCGUUCUACCAGUUCUCACUCGGCAAAUCCCUCUUUUUCUCUCAAUCGCUCUCUCUUUGGAGUUCGAUCGGUGACUCUCUCGAUCGGGGAUUUUUUCGCCGGAUCUGACGCGUUCUUUAGAGGAUUUCUCGGAUUUCCGGCGGAAACUAGAGAAAUGGUUUCUCCCUCUUGAUCACUCUCUCGACGGGGUCUCGAAUCUCCGGCGGAAACCAGAGAACCGGUCUCUCCCUCUCAAUCGCUCUCGGUUCCGGUGUUUCUGAGACUUUUUUUCGACGGAUUUCUCUAUCGGUUUGGGGCAAGGAUCGGCGACAGUCGCGAUGACGACGAUGCUUAACCGAUCUUCUCUCUGGAUUGGGCUCACUGGAUCGGGGUUCAAAUCCACGCCAAGUCUGGAGGUUUCGGUUCAUCUCCAAGGACAAAACUCCGAAACCCCUCAGCAACAGCGGCUCUUUGUUUCUGGCUCGAUCAGAAACACAAAAAGGGAGGGCAGCGUAGGCGAGGCUGGUGCAGUGAGACGGUGAGACACUCGGGCGUGUCGGGUUGUCGAGCUGUGGUGCUAGUGUGGCAACGACGUGAUGUUCGGCAUGCAGAGGUGUUGCAAUAGGGGCGCCGGCGAUAGAGGCGACUUGUUGUGGCAUUGGGCAGAGCGUAGGUUGCUGGUGGAGCGACGUCGGCAGGGCUAUGCGGAGACGGGGCAGAUUUUCAGACGGAGAGCAACGUAGGCGAGGGUUGUUGGGCAUCAGAGUAGAGGCGGAGGAGUGCAGUGGCUUGGUGAUUGGUUCUGGUGACGCGAAAGGGUGCUCGUGUGGAGGUCCGGCAAAGGGAAGCAAUAGACUAGUAGCGGCGGUGGCUGGCGGCUAGGUUGCCCGUGGUGAAGCUUGGCACGAAGACGCGGUGUGGUGCUCGUAGACGAGCGCAACACCGCGUUACGGCUGGCGUAGCAGAGCCCUUGAGUGGUUGCGGGGCGAAACGCGACGAAGAUGAACAAUCUCUCUACUUCUAUACUUUUCUACGUUUUCCUUUUUUUCCCUUUGCUCUCACGUCUCUCUCUCAUGUCACUUUCUCUCCUGCAGUUGUCUUCUUUUGCUGACCUCCCCUUUUUCUCAAGAAAUUUUCCUUCAUUUUCUUU